UCUUUAGAAGAGAAUGGGAAAACAGCCAGGCUAACUUCAGCACAAGUAUGUUGGUGGCACCUAUAAACAUGCAGGUGUGUGGAGGAACAGGUCCUGUUCUCGCUGUUGUUACUCCCACAUAGGCAGACUCUGUAAUAGAUUAUGUGUGGGUAGGGCCCUAUUGAAAUUCAGGAGAUUCUGCAGUAGUGCGGGGUUCUUUUUGUGAAAGUUCAGUUGCAAGAUCAGGACCCUACUGUGCCUCCUUACUGUGCAUUCUGUCACUGUCUCAUUGAUUGUACUGGAACCUGCCUAUUGGGAUAAUCACCAAAUACUAUAUUCCUCAAAACUUCUUAAUGGCACUGAGGCUUUGUGGAUAGUUGGUCACAUGAUGGGAAAAUUCAGCUGUAAGUACAUCAAAAUGAUUGACUUUUUCAAUAGUUAGUCUUUACUGAUGUUGGCAAACUAAUAGUGACAAAAAUGUGAAUCAAGAGGUUUGACUUAUGUCAAUUACUUCAGUACUUUUUAGAAAAUAUAUACAGUACACCCAUUAAGGAUUUUAUUAUUCUUAGGUAAUUCACCAUGGGACCCUGAAGUUCUUCCCUACUGCUAUUAGGUUGGGAGUUCUAAGUUUGUUUUCUUUACUUUCAGAGUGGUGUGUCUGCCUUGCUCUGUGUUUUGACCGAUAAACUUUUUGAAAUUUAUAGAUCUACAAAAACUGUUUAUACCAUUAAUAUUUGUAUAGCUAUUGCAAACUGAUUUACUAACAUAAUUGUCUUGCUGGGUUGAAUACUGAAAUGUUAAUAAAUAUACACUUACAUUUGUGUCAGUGUACCUUGGUUAAAUUAAACUGAGCUGGCAUUAUGAGUGAAUUUGAUCAUACAUGCUUAUUAGCUAUAGUCUUAGGCAAGAACUACAUAUUACCCAUAUCGUAUGUCAGUGGAUUCACCCAAAAAUAGCUAUAAAUAUCUAUGCUGGGGUUAAGGAGGAAGUUAUUUUCCUGUAGCUAUGGGUACAGUCAUUGCUUUGACUCCUAUUUUUAUAUACAAAUGAGCAAAAACUACAUGUAGGUGUUUUCCCUGU